rnacentral:rRNA from 1 species
GCAAGUCGAACGGCAGCGCGGGGAGCUUGCUCCCUGGCGGCGAGUGGCGGACGGGUGAGUAAUGCAUAGGAAUCUGCCCAGUAGUGGGGGAUAACUCCGGGAAACCGGGGCUAAUACCGCAUACGUCCCACGGGGGAAAGCAGGGGAUCUUCGGACCUUGCGCUAUUGGAUGAGCCUAUGUCGGAUUAGCUUGUUGGUGGGGUAAAGGCCCACCAAGGCGACGAUCAGUAUCUGGUUUGAGAGGAUGAUC